rnacentral:rRNA from 1 species
UUGAACGCUGGCGGCAGGCCUAACACAUGCAAGUCGAGCGGAUGAAGGGAGCUUGCUCCUGGAUUCAGCGGCGGACGGGUGAGUAAUGCCUAGGAAUCUGCCUGGUAGUGGGGGAUAACGUCCGGAAACGGGCGCUAAUACCGCAUACGUCCUGAGGGAGAAAGUGGGGGAUCUUCGGACCUCACGCUAUCAGAUGAGCCUAGGUCGGAUUAGCUAGUUGGUGGGGUAAAGGCCUACCAAGGCGACGAUCCGUAACUGGUCUGAGAGGAUGAUCAGUCACACUUGAACUUAGACACGGUCCAGACUCCUACGGGAGGCAGCAGUGGGUAAUAUUGGACAAUGGGCGAAAACCUGAUCCAGCCAUGCCGCGUGUGUGAAGAAGGUCUUCGGAUUGUAAAGCGCUUUAAGUUGGGAGGAAGGGCAGUAAGUUAAUACCUUGCUGUUUUGACGUUACCAACAGAAUAAGCACCGGCUAACUUCGUG